rnacentral:rRNA from 1 species
UACGGGGGGGGCAAGCGUUGUUCGGAAUUACUGGGCGUAAAGGGCGCGUAGGCGGUUUGUUAAGUUGGAUGUGAAAACUCUGGGCUUAACCCAGAGCCUGCAUCCAAAACUAGCAGGCUAGAGUUCUGGAGGGGAUAGCGGAAUUCCUGGUGUAGCGGUGAAAUGCGUAGAUAUCGAGAGGAACACCUGCGGCGAAGGCGGGUUGCUGGGCUGAUACUGACGCUGAGGCGCGAAAGCCAGGGGAGCGAACGGG